UACGUAGGUGGCGAGCGUUGUCCGGAUUUACUGGGCGUGAAGGGAGCGUAGGCGGACUUUUAAGUGAGAUGUGAAAUACUCGGGCUCAACUUGAGUGCUGCAUUUCAAACUGGAAGUCUGGAGUGCAGGAGAGGAGAAUGGAAUUCCUAGUGUAGCGGUGAAAUGCGUAGAGAUUAGGAAGAACACCAGUGGCGAAGGCGAUUCUCUGGACUGUAACUGACGCUGAGGCUCGAAAGCGUGGGGAGCAAACAGG
rnacentral:rRNA from 1 species